rnacentral:rRNA from 1 species
GGCCAGACUCCUACGGGAGGCAGCAGUGGGGAAUAUUGCACAAUGGGGGAAACCCUGAUGCAGCGACGCCGCGUGAGUGAAGAAGUAUUUCGGUAUGUAAAGCUCUCUCAGCAGGGAAGAAGAAGGACGGUACCUGAGUAAGAAGCCCCGGCUAACUACGUGCCAGCAGCCGCGGUAAUACGUAGGGGGCAAGCGUUAUCCGGAUUUACUGGGUGUAAAGGGGGCGCAGACGGCAGCGCAAGCCAGGAGUGAAAGCCCGGGGCCCAACCCCGGGACUGCUCUUGGAACUGCGCGGCUGGAGUGCAGGAGGGGCAGGCGGAAUUCCUGGUGUAGCGGUGAAAUGCGUAGAUAUCAGGAGGAACACCGGUGGCGAAGGCGGCCUGCUGGACUGCGACUGACGUUGAGGCCCGAAAGCGUGGGGAGCAAACAGGAUUAGAUACCCCUGUAUG